rnacentral:rRNA from 1 species
AGUGAACGCUGGCGGUGGGCCUAACACAUGCAAGUCGAACGGCAGCACAGUAAGUGCGUGCUCUUACGGGGUGCGAGUGGGGGACGUGUGAGGAAUAUAUCGUAAUCUACUUUUUCGUGUGGGUUAACGUAAGGAAACUUACGAUAAUACCGCAGACGACCUACGGUUGAAAGCAGGGGAACUUCUGAGCUUGCGCGGUUGAAUGAGCCGCUGCUGGGUUAGCUAGUUGGGCGGGUAAAUGCCCAGCAAGGCGCGGAUCGGUGGCUGGUCUGUGAGGAUGGUCAGCGGCACUGGAGCUGAGACACGCACCAUGCUACUACGGGAGGCAGCAGAGUGGAAUAUUGGACAAUGGGCGCAAGCAUGGCCCAGCCAUCCCGCGUGUGUGAAGAAGGCCUUCGGGUCGUAAAGACGUCUUGUGGGGAAAGAACCGCUGCAGGUUAAUACCCAGCUGUACUGACGGUACCCAAAGAAUAAGCACCGGCUAACUUCGUG